CACUCAAACUUAAAGUAUAUAUUGCAUUGAUUACUAUACAUGAUAACCAAAUUUGGAAAAACCGCUGACAGUGAGUAAACAAACGUUCCAGAGAGGAGAAAACUUCACGCGUAAAAUCUACAGUGAAAUAAAGUAAUGGUGAAAGAUGUUCGGUUUUUCGGGACGUAAAGAUGAUAAAUCUAAGCAGCAGAAGAGAGGACAGGGCCGUAAAGGUGGAAAUUUGUCGCAGUUUGGCCUAAUGGAAGUGCCUGACAUGGACAACCUAACCAUUGGAGGAGAUGACGAUGAUGAUGAUGAUGGAGACUUGGAGGCAGAGCUACUUGCCCUCACAGGGGGGGGAGAAAGGAAACCCAAGAAAGG